rnacentral:rRNA from 1 species
UACAGAGGGGGCAAGCGUUAUUCGGAAUUAUUGGGCGUAAAGGGCGCGUAGGCGGCUUGGCAAGUGGAUGGUGAAAUCCCUCGGCUUAACCGAGGAACUGCCGUCCAAACUGCUUCGCUUGAGACCAGGAGAGGUGAGUGGAAUUCCCAGUGUAGCGGUGAAAUGCGUAGAUAUUGGGAGGAACACCAGUGGCGAAGGCGGCUCACUGGCCCGGUACUGACGCUGAGGUGCGAAAGCGUGGGGAGCAAACAGG